AGAUGUUGGGUUAAGUCCCGCAACGAGCGCAACCCUUUUCCUUACUUGCCAGCAUUUCGGAUGGGAACUUUAAGGAUACUGCCGGUGACAAACUGGAGGAAGGCGGGGACGACGUCAAGUCAUCAUGGCCCUUACGGCCAGGGCUACACACGUGCUACAAUGGUCGGUACAAAGGGUUGCUACACAGCGAUGUGAUGCUAAUCUCAAAAAGCCGAUCGUAGUCCGGAUUGGAGUCUGCAACUCGACUCCAUGAAGUCGGAAUCGCUAGUAAUCGCGGAUCAGAAUGCCGCGGUGAAUACGUUCCCGGGCCUUGUACACACCGCCCGUCACACCAUGGGAGUUUGUUGCACCAGAAGUAGCUAGCCUAACUGCAAAGAGGGCGGUUACCACGGUGUGGCCGAUGACUGGGGUG
rnacentral:rRNA from 1 species